UGACUGUGCGAAGGUAGCAUAAUUAAUUGCCCCAUAAUUGGGGGCUUGUUUGAAUGGUUUGACGUAGUAAUAACGAAUAUUUAAUAUUUUGUUGAAAUUGAUUUGGAGGGUUCAGAAUCCUCCUUUAUAUUAAUUAGACGGAAAGACCCCGGGAGCUUUAAUUUUUGCCUGGGGCAGGUGUUAGUGUUUCACUAUUAUUUUGUUCCUUAUUUUUAGAUUAAUGGUUUAAGUUACCCCGGGGAUAACAGUGUAAUAGUUAAAUAGAGAUCUUAUCGAAUUAGCUGUUUGCCACCUCGAUGUUGACUUAGGUUUAAUCUUGGGCGUAGCCGUUCAAGUUUUGGGUCUGUUCGACCUUAUUAACCUCCAUGAGUUGAGUUAAGACCGGUGUAAGCCAGGUCGGUUCUUAUCUAUUAUUGAGAUUUAUUAGUACGAAAGGACCGUAAGUCUUUUUAUUGAGUAUGCAGCUUUUAGGGUCUCAGCUUUGCAAAAGCUGAUGUGAAAUUUGUGUUUCCAUACUUUGUGUGUUUAACUAUGGCAAUAGGAAGUGCUUGUUACAUUAGCUGCAUAAAAUACUUUUAUGGUGAUUUAAAUUAGGUUUUGUUAAGAUUAUUAGCAGUUAGUUUUUUAUUUGGAUAAAAGUCCUUUAAGAGUGUAACAUAUAAAGGGGAGAGGACACAGUGCCAGCAUCUGCGGUUAUUCUGUUUUCUUUGCUUUUUAGUAGGCUAUGUUUGAAUAUUUAUUAGUAAGUUUAGGUGAAAUUUACUUAUUUUAGUGUUUAGUAUUCAUUUUUUAAUAAAUAGUUUUGAAUGACAGGGAUUAGAUACCCCAUUAAUGGGCUAAUAUAUUGUGGUCUUAGUUUUAACUAAAAUAGUUUGGCAGCGAAUGAAUCCUAUCGGGGGAA
rnacentral:rRNA from 1 species